AGAAGAGAAAAAACAUCAAUUAGAAAAUAGAAAAGAGCCCUCCCUGGUGAAUUCCUGCUUCUCCUCCAUGUCAUCAUAGGUGUUGAUGGUGCUUGCCUCUGGAUAAUGCUGACUUCCUCUAGAGUGGUCACCAAGGUGAAAUGUUGGUGCCAAAUGAACUUUUCUGGUUCUUCUGAAUAUGCCACUGUUGCUGGAGAAAUGUCACUGCUAGAGAACAGAAGACUAUUAUUCCAAAGGGUAUUUGAGACUGACUGAAUCAGGUCUGGAACAUUAUUGAAAUGAGACCCACAAAAGAAGAGAUACUGAGGUGGUGACCAGAUGGAUAUAAACGGGCUGUGGAAAAAGAGAAUGCAUGGCCAAAAAUGGUGGUGCUCUCUGUCCAAAAACUGAGGCCCUAUGACCAUGAAUGAAGCCAGAGGGCAGGUAGGAAUAGAUCAUUUGCUCCAGAAGAAGCUGGUUGCCAUGUCUUGAGGACAGUAAACCCUCUGGGGAGGUUCCUGUGGUAAGGAACAAGGGCUCCUGGCAAUAGCCUCUGAGUGAGCCACCUUGAAAAUGGAUUGUCCAGCCCCAGUCAAGCUUUCAGAUGACUGUAGCUCCUGCCAAUGUCUUCACCACAACCUCAUGAGAUCCCAAGCUACAACCACUCAGAACUUCAUCUUUUGGGAAGCACCAGGGAGAGCUGCCUGUGCCUGGCAGAAGCUGCCCAUGCCCCACUGAUACCCCACAGUACUUCCUGUUCUGCUUAGUACUCCUGCUUCUUUCUACAAACAACUGUGAUUCUCUACCUGGGAGCUUCCUCUGGCCACAGGAGCCUGCUCACCUGAUUGGGACACCCUAGCAGUACUGGCUCAUAGAUGGAAGGGACUUGCCUUGUCGCUGAUGAGACUUUCGACUUGGACUUUUGAGUCAAUGCUGGAAUGAGUUAAGACUUUGGGGAACUGUUGGAAGGGUGUGAUUGUGUUUUGAAUUGUGAGGACAUGAGAUUUUGAAGAGGCUAAUGGCAGCGUCCCCACCUAAAUCUCUUCUUGAAUUGUAGUUCCCAUAAUCCCCACGUGUCGUGGGGUGGAGCCGGUGGAGAUAAUUGAAUCAUGGGAACACUUUCCCCCAUGCUGUUAUUGUGAUUGUGAAUUCUCACGAGAUCUGAUGGUUGUAUAAACGCCUUCCCUCUUCGCUGGGCACUCAUUUUUCUCCUUCCUGCCACCAUGUGAAGAAGGAUAUGCUUGCUUCUUGUGCCAUGAUUACAAGAACACACUCAGAAAUUUUCUCAACACAGUUUCUAUGCAGAGAAGAGAUGUGGGACAGAUUUGAACUGCUGUCAUAUUUGUAUGAACCCAAGACAUUUUCCAAGACCAAGAGGGAUAAAGACAGCAAUUUCUAUGACUGGCAUUUUACGUGCAUGCACUGUUUCCAAGUGUUCUUGUGUUCUGUGCCUUAAACAUUCUGUGUUGCAACUUUAUGAAUUGAAUUAAAGAUAAUCCCAAGCCCCCAAUUGUCUCAAAAAGUGAAAAAGUAAAUGUUAUAGAAAGAAAAGCGGGAAAAACUUUAAGCAUGAAAUAAAAGAUGGGUUGUGAUAAAAGAGGACUGAAGAAGGAAAAGGAAUGAAAGGUUCUGCCAUCCUUCAUGGCAGCCCACUCCACUUGGUAUGAGAUACUGCUCCCUUGGCUGAAAGUUAACUGCUGUACUCCCUCCACUUUCUAUAAAUGACUCCCUGUGCCUUUCCUUCACCACACAACUCACACUCUCUUCCUUCCUAGUGAGUCCACUAAGGCUUCACUGCAUUAUUACAUUUAUUUCAUUUAGGAAAAACUGACUUUAUUUUCCUUCAAAUUGUUUUUUAUUGUUUAUAUGAGCUUGGUUUUAUUGUCAUUCUAUUUUUCUCCAUGAAAAUAGAGAAAAAUAGGGUCGAAAGGUUAGGUUGGGUGGAAAGGAAUUAUAUUUUUUCUCACUAAAAUUGAUGUAAAUAUCGUUUUCAAUUGAAUGAUUUUACACAGUGGCACAGUUUCAGGUAUGUUGCUAAGCAGGAAAGUUGUUAACCAAAGCAUGAAUGUAUUAAGGAGAUGUAUGCAGAAUGACAUGCAAGGUUAUCUAUGAUUGCUGAGUGAGAAAGAGCAAGUUGCUGAGUAUUAUAUAAGUAUGAUCUCACUUUUGUAAAAAAAAAAAAAAAAAAAGGCCUGGACUGAUCUGAAAUGACCCUAUUAAUAACAAUUAUGUCCAGGUCUGUAUUGCAUACUUGUCAUUCAUUACAGGAUCUUGAGACACAAUGCAAAGGAUCACAUCGCAGCUCUGUAACUUGUUAACUAUAAGAUUUUGAGUAACAUAACACCUUACUCCUUAAAAUUGCUUAAAAAAAAUCUGAACAUCAGGAAUAUUCUACUUCACAGGGUCGUUGUGAUAAUUAAAUGUAGUAAUCAAUGACAAUAGUGCCAGAUACAGUAGAUAGCCUACACUUUGCAGCUACUAUUUCUAUCUAUCAUCCAUCUAUUAAUAUAUAUCAUCUAUCUUUAACUUAUCAUCUAUCUUGUUCCAGUUUUUUAAAAUGAACAUGUAUUAACUUUGUAAAAAAUUAAGGCUAUAAGAUGUGCUGAGCUUUUGGAAUAGAUUUUCCUGUACUAUAUAUGACUGCCAGUGGGAGAAUUUGAAUAAAUGUGUAAAUUUGACUAAAUCUGAAUAAAUGUUCAUUUGACGGGACCAUAGAUUUGGGGGUCUAGCACUAGCUCUGUUUCUACACUCCUGCUGCUGCCUGAUAGAGAUGCCUCUCUUGUUUUGGACUCCAAGGUAAAGUAAGCCUUUUCAUUUUGUGCAUCAUAAUUUAAAAUGACAAAUGGAAUCUAUUUUUUUCUCCAUCUAACGCAUAUAUAGCUACCAUUUAUUAAUUCUUGUUUCCUUCUUAUGUUGCUCUUUGUUGUCAUUUUUAAGGGAAGAAGAGACUGGGUCACGGGAAUGCUUUAAUGUGGAAACCCUGAAUUCGUUCCACACAUCUGCCUUCUGGGGACACAGGUAAAUGAGGCCGAGUAGUGAAGUGGGAAGUUCCUGAAAAUGUGACAGCAAGCCUCUGUCCACUGCCAGACCGAAGACAGGGAGGCGCUCAUCGGCAAAUUAAUGGAUGUUAAAGGGAAGCAAAAUAACACCAAGAUAGACUCAUGAAUU
rnacentral:lncRNA from 1 species